rnacentral:rRNA from 1 species
GACGAACGCUGGCGGCGUGCCUAAUACAUGCAAGUAGAACGCUGAAGGCGUAGCUUGCUUCUCCGGAUGAGUUGCGAACGGGUGAGUAACGCGUAGGUAACCUGCCUUGUAGCGUGGGAUAACUAUUGGAAACGAUAGCUAAUACCGCAUAAGAGUAGAUGUCGCAUGACAUUUGCUUAAAAGUUUCAACUGCACCACUACCACAUGGACCUGCUUUGUAUUAGCUAGUUGGUGUGGUAACGGCUCACAAAGGCAACGAUACAUAGGAGAACUGAGAGGGUGAGCGGCCAGACUGAGAGGGAGACACGGCACAGACGGAUACGGGAGGCAGCAGUAGGGAAUCGGCAGGAAUGGACGGAAGUCUGAGCGAGAAACGCGGCGGGAGUGAAGAAGGUUGUCGGAUCGGAAAGCACUGUUGUAAGAGAAGAACGAGUGUGAGAGUGGAAAGUACAGAGUGUGACGGUAACUUACCAGAAAGGGACGGCUAACUACGUG